UACGUAGGGGGCAAGCGUUGUCCGGAAUCAUUGGGCGUAAAGCGCGUGUAGGCGGCUCGAUAAGUCUGCUGUGAAAGUCCAGGGCUCAACCCUGGGAUGCCGGUGGAUACUGUCGAGCUCGAGUCCGGAAGAGGCGAGUGGAAUUCCUAGUGUAGCGGUGAAAUGCGCAGAUAUCAGGAGGAACACCAAUGGCGAAGGCAGCUCGCUGGGACGUGACUGACGCUGAGACGCGAAAGCGUGGGGAGCAAACAGG
rnacentral:rRNA from 1 species